AAUAUGGGGGGACCAUCCUCCAAGGCUAAAUACUCCUGACUGACCGAUAGUGAACCAGUACCGUGAGGGAAAGGCGAAAAGAACCCCGGCGAGGGGAGUGAAAAAGAACCUGAAACCGUGUACGUACAAGCAGUGGGAGCACGCUUAGGCGUGUGACUGCGUACCUUUUGUAUAAUGGGUCAGCGACUUAUAUUCUGUAGCAAGGUUAACCGAAUAGGGGAGCCGAAGGGAAACCGAGUCUUAACUGGGCGUUAAGUUGCAGGGUAUAGACCCGAAACCCGGUGAUCUAGCCAUGGGCAGGUUGAAGGUUGGGUAACACUAACUGGAGGACCGAACCGACUAAUGUUGAAAAAUUAGCGGAUGACUUGUGGCUGGGGGUGAAAGGCCAAUCAAACCGGGAGAUAGCUGGUUCUCCCCGAAAGCUAUUUAGGUAGCGCCUCGUGAAUUCAUCUCCGGGGGUAGAGCACUGUUUCGGCAAGGGGGUCAUCCCGACUUACCAACCCGAUGCAAACUGCGAAUACCGGAGAAUGUUAUCACGGGAGACACACGGCGGGUGCUAACGUCCGUCGUGAAGAGGGAAACAACCCAGACCGCCAGCUAAGGUCCCAAAGUCAUGGUUAAGUGGGAAACGAUGUGGGAAGGCCCAGACAGCCAGGAUGUUGGCUUAGAAGCAGCCAUCAUUUAAAGAAAGCGUAAUAGCUCACUGGUCGAGUCGGCCUGCGCGGAAGAUGUAACGGGGCUAAACCAUG
rnacentral:rRNA from 1 species